ensembl:lncRNA
CUCCGGGCCCCAGAGAUUGCUCUGCCCACUGGAGCCGAGUUUCGUGCACACUGGAACCCCAGCUCCCCACCCAGCCCUGGCUGAAACCACAUAAGACUGUGCGUUAUGACAUCACCUGUUUUCGGGCUGGAGAACGCGAUCAGUAUUCUCGGCUUCUGCUUUUCUUAAAGGUCGCUAGCGUACGAGGAUCCGUGAAGGCCUGCAGUUGGCAGAAUGAAUCUGUGGAGAUGAUUUACACGAAUGAUUUCACUGUGGUACAUUUCUUGAGUUAUAUUCCUGGCUUGGAAAGCAGAUUUUAUGUGAAUACAUUUUAAAGGGCCUAAGACCAGUCAGUACUACUCCGAAGGAGGAAUUAAGAAGAUGUGAUCCAAAAGGGGCUCUGCUUGAGCGCCGCUUCCCCUUCCACCCUCUCCAUCGCCCACCUCCACCAGGAAAAUUAUUCUUACCGAAGCUCAUUUUCCAAGGAACAAAUAUUCCAGCAAGAUCCUGAUUUCUGCCAGCUUUCUCUUCUAACUUCCCCUUCCAGAGUUUCCUGCAUUAAACCCUGUAGAAAGCAGAUUGCAAAGGAGAGGCCUACAGAUCUGGGUUUAUCAUUGUUUGGCCUGCAAAUGUUAGCCAGCACAGUUCUUUUUAACAUUGAAUUACUUAAAAACACUUGAUGUAGGAGAUUUUUGCCGCCACCCGCACCCCCACCCACCAACAAGUCUAGAUUUCUGGUGUCUCUUGAAAAUGGUUAGAUCUGGUUACACUGGAUGUGUACUGGUAUAUGGCCACCAUCUGCUGGAACCCAGCACCUGUUAUCUGCAUUUGGACAUGCAUUUUCAGGUUUACCAACGUCUCUGUCACUCUUCUGGGGUUCCAUUUUGCCACUUUAUACACAUUGUCUUCUUGACCUUUGUAAGGAUUUGCCAUCUCAGAACUUUCUCCGGCACUCAAAUUACUGAUCUACUGACUGAUCCUCUUAAUCAUAGAACAUGAGUUAAAAAGAAACAUGUCAUCUCUUGGCUAUAGCAGAAGUUGAGGAAAAGGAUCCAAUGUAAAGAAUAUCAUGAUAUGCAGUUGCCUGGGUGAUAGUACAUAAGGGAUGGAUUGCAAAGUGGCCUGAGGAAUCUUUUGCUGGUUGUGGAAAUGAUAUGUAUCUUGAUUGUGCUAAUACUUUCAUGGGUGUA